GUACCAGGAACUGCGUCGCCUGGGAUUCAUCGAGGACCACUGCAAGCUUCGUCGUCGGCAUCGUAAUUGGUGAGCCCCAAUAUAUGGCAGGCCGGCGAGGUGUGGGGCGUGUUCACCGAACGUCACUCGCUAUAGUUUCCUAGCUCAACCGAAGUUAAAGGUUGCGUGGAACUUUAGCGAGCGGGUUCCUUGAAAACUGCUGCCACUUCGGGUCCAACUCCCCGUGACACAGGCGCGCGUACUACAGCUUUCAGGCUUAGCUUACGGUUAGGUAGGUAGGUAGCUCGUCAGGGGUUGUGUUCACGGGCGGACUCGACGCUGGGAUGCUCGUGGCGCUCCCGUGGCCGCCAUUUCGUGCCAGACUUCUGGUGCGUAAUGGGGGUUUUCGCGGGCCGCAAAGCGGCGUCCCGGUGUAAUUGCCUCGUCGGCUUGUCCCCACACUUCAAGAAACUGGCGACGUUUGAACUUCAAGUCUGCACAACGCGUCGCGUCGGGGACCUGCUACGGGAGGAGCGCAGCUUCAACUUGGCUGCUAGACCAGAGUGCAUAUGGACCAGCCGUGGCUUCGCGCUCAAGCGUUAUUCGAGCGCUGACGUACUGACACGCCCCGUGCCACACCGGCGUAUCUUGCGCACUAUAUAUCGCCGACGGGAGUCCUGAUGGCGGACGUGCUCCCGGCAUUGGAUCGAGAGCGCCGACUGUCUUCACACAUGCCCUGCGCCACAACGGCAGAUCUUCCUGGCGGGCAUCUUCCCGGCACUGCCUUAACUCUACAAACU
rnacentral:lncRNA from 1 species